rnacentral:ncRNA from 1 species
UUAUGAUUUAAAAAAUUUAUUUUAAGUUUAAUUUACAUAUAAAUUUUAGUGUUAAUUUUAUAUUUAAAAAAUAUAAUUUUUAUUGUAGUAAUUAAAAUUAAAAAUUUAAGUAAUUAAGAUUUAGUAAUACAAAAUAUUAAAUAACAAAUUUUGUGCCAGCAGUUGCGGUUAUACAAAAAUUUAAAUAAAUUUUAUUAGUAAAAAUAAAUAUAUUUAUUAAUUAAAUUAAAUUUAAAAUUAUUAGGUGAAAUUUUAAUUUAAGUAAAAUUUAAAUUUAAAUUAUGAAUUUAAAAAUUUUAAAAUAAACUAGGAUUAGAUACCCUAUUAUAAAAAAUUAAAAUAUAUUACUAAAAUAGUAAAUAAUUAUUUAUUGAAACUUAAAUAAUUUGGCGGUAUUUUAGUUCAUUUAGAGGAAUCUGUCUAGUAAUUGAUAGUCCACGAAUAAUUAUAUUUAAUUUAAAAUUUUAUAUAUCGUUGUUAAAAAAAUAUUUUUUAAUAAAAAUAAUAUUUUAAAAUUUAAAAUAAAAAUAAAUUCAGAUCAAGAUGUAGAUAAUAAUUAAAAUAAGAUGGAUUACAUUAUAAUAAUAUAAAUGAAUAAUAAUUUGAAAUAAUUAUUUGAAGGUGGAUUUAAAUGUAAUUUUAUUUAAUUUAAUAAAAUGAUUAAAAAUUAACAUAUGUACAUAUUGCCCGUCACUUUCAUUUUAAAAUUGAAAUAAGUCGUAACAAAGUAGAGGUACUGGAAAGUGUUUCUAGAAAGAA